AUGAGAUGUGAGUUCAGCGAAAAUCCUGCCAGCUCACACCAACGUAAACGUUUGCUGGGAAGUGUAGUCCAUAUAUUUAAAGAGCACACGCCCCGAAAUGAGAAGCUCCGGGCCGCGUUUCACUGGGCUGCUCGAGGUGUUCGGAGACGCUGGAAUAAAACCAAGACGAUCCGAGCGUCAAACCGCAUGUGUUCCUGAUUAAGCUCGCCUGGCCAGCCGUCCGCGUCCGGUCCCACGGAUUGCCGUGUGGGAGAGGACAUUGGCUCGUGAGCCUGGCACUCACGCGCACUAGGAGACGGGCGUCACCGCCGGGCUUUGACGUCCGGCUCCAUUGGCCAGCCGUUGCUGAUCGCGUCAUCCGCCCGGCCAGCUGAUCGGAGUUAGAAGCCGGUUGGGAGGCAGUCGGGCUGGGAUCUUCGUUGGGAACCUUGAGAACCGACAGAAGUGGGACUAAAUAACAGGGUUAAGGGAACGGUGACAGCUCAACUUUGCCGCGUCUGCACCCCGACGCAGACCCAGACAUGCAUGUGCCUGCAUCCCCGCUGCUGGAGGUGCUCGGCAGUUCUUCACCGGCGAGCUUUAUGUCCAUGUUCACCAGCUAAAGCUGCCCGCUGAAGAGCUGCUGGGCCCAGCUCUGACCUGCAGGAGAACACGCCGAAAGAGGAUCACAAGGGAUGAGAACAAAUGCCGCAAGCUGAUAUUGACCCUGUUGGUGCAGAAGAUGCCUUGGUUCCCUUUAUGGUGACACCUAACAUGGGUGGGGAUGGGAAACGUAGCUGCUGCAGAGGGAAAACAGUGAGCAAAGCAAGGCUAAAAGCAGAGGCUGGAAAUAAGUGCGAAGAAGUGUGUGACCACAGGAGAGUGUGUUUGCAGCUCCAGAGAGACAGUCUCUCUCAUGCUUAGGCUACCUAUCUCCUCAUUGCUUGGUGAACUUGCUGUACAGUGACUUGCUCCCCUAACUGUAUAAAAAACAUCUAUGUCUCUCUAACUUUGUCUUGUAAAUAAAGACUGAAUUUGUCCGGA